rnacentral:tRNA from 1 species
UGCGGGAUCGUCUAAUGGUAGGACAUGCGACUCUGGAUCGCAGAAUCUUGGUUCGAGUCCAAGUCCCGCAGCCA